rnacentral:rRNA from 1 species
AGUUUGAUCCUGGCUCAGGAUGAACGCUAGCUACAGGCUUAACACAUGCAAGUCGAGGGGCAGCAUGAACUUAGCUUGCUAAGUUUGAUGGCGACCGGCGCACGGGUGAGUAACACGUAUCCAACCUGCCGAUGACUCGGGGAUAGCCUUUCGAAAGAAAGAUUAAUACCCGAUGGCAUAGUUCUUCCGCAUGGUGGAACUAUUAAAGAAUUUCGGUCAUCGAUGGGGAUGCGUUCCAUUAGGUUGUUGGCGGGGUAACGGCCCACCAAGCCUUCGAUGGAUAGGGGUUCUGAGAGGAAGGUCCCCCACAUUGGAACUGAGACACGGUCCAAAUCCUACGGGAGGCAGCAGUGAGGAAUAUUGGUCAAUGGACGAGAGUCUGAACCAGCCAAGUAGCGUGAAGGAUGACUGCCCUAUGGGUUGUAAACUUCUUUUAUACGGGAAUAAAGUGAGGCACGUGUGCCUUUUUGUAUGUACCGUAUGAAUAAGGAUCGGCUAACUCCGUGCCAGCAGCCGCGGUAAUACGGAGGAUCCGAGCGUUAUCCGGAUUUAUUGGGUUUAAAGGGAGCGUAGGCGGACGCUUAAGUCAGUUGUGAGAGUUUGCGGCUCAACCGUAAAAUUGCAGUUGAUACUGGGUGUCUUGAGUACAGUAGAGGCAGGCGGAAUUCGUGGUGUAGCGGUGAGAUGCUUAGAUAUCACGAAGAACUCCGAUUGCGAAGGCAGCUUGCUGGACUGUAACUGACGCUGAUGCUCGAAAGUGUGGGUAUCAAACAGGAUUAGAUACCCUGGUAGUCCACACAGUAAACGAUGAAUACUCGCUGUUUGCGAUAUACAGUAAGCGGCCAAGCGAAAGCGUUAAGUAUUCCACCUGGGGAGUACGCCGGCAACGGUGAAACUCAAAGGAAUUGACGGGGGCCCGCACAAGCGGAGGAACAUGUGGUUUAAUUCGAUGAUACGCGAGGAACCUUACCCGGGCUUGAAUUGCAACUGAAUGAUGUGGAGACAUGUCAGCCGCAAGGCAGUUGUGAAGGUGCUGCAUGGUUGUCGUCAGCUCGUGCCGUGAGGUGUCGGCUUAAGUGCCAUAACGAGCGCAACCCUUAUCGAUAGUUACCAUCANGUUAUGCUGGGGACUCUGUCGAGACUGCCGUCGUAAGAUGUGANGAANGUGGA